UGAGGAAUAUUGGUCAAUGGGCGAGAGCCUGAACCAGCCACGUCGCGUGAAGGAAGACUCACCUUACGGUUUGUAAACUUUUUUUGUAGAGGGGUAAUGGCAGAUACGUGUAUUUGCGUGAAAGUACUCUACGAAUAAGCAUCGGCUAACUCCGUGCCAGCAGCCGCGGUAAUACGUAUGUUGCGAGCGUUAUCCGGAAUUAUUGGGCUUAAAGGGUAUCUAGGCGGUAAGACAAGUUGAAGGUGAAAACCUGUGGCUCAACCAUAGGAUUGCCUACAAAACUGUUGAACUAGAGUACUGGAAAGGUGGGAGGAAGUACACGAGGAGAGGUGAAAUUAGUAGAUAUGUGUAGGAAUGCCGAAGAUGAAGAUAACUCACUGGACAGAAACUGACGCUGAAGUGCGAAAGCUGGGGGGGCAAACAGG
rnacentral:rRNA from 1 species